GGGAGGAUUGGGGUUUCAAACCCUUACGGGUAAGCACAGCACUCCCGGGGCGCUUCGAACCAGUUUAUGGUAGGGGUCCACCCAGUGUGUACAGGAUGAUACCCGAAAGAUGGUGAACUAUGCCUGGCCAGGACGAAGCCAGGCGAAACCCUGGUGGAGGUCGGCAGAGAUUCUGACGUGCAAAUCGAUCGUUGGAGCUGGGUAUAGGGGCGAAAGACCAAUCGAACCAUUAGUAGCUGGUUCCCUCUGAAGUUUCCCUCAGGAUAGCUGGCUUUUUCGUAUAGAGGAGUCUCAUCCGGUAGAGCGAAUGAUUAGAGGCAUUGGGGUCGAAACGAUCUCAACCUAUUCUCAAACUCCAAACGGAUGAGAACCCCGGCUUACUUAAAAGGAAGCCGCGGGA
rnacentral:rRNA from 1 species